GACGAACGCUGGCGGCGUGCUUAACACAUGCAAGUCGAGCGGUAAGGCCCUUUCGGGGGUACACGAGCGGCGAACGGGUGAGUAACACGUGGGUGACCUGCCCUCAGCUCUGGGAUAAGCCUGGGAAACUGGGUCUAAUACCGGAUAUGACUCCAUGACGCAUGUUGUGGGGUGGAAAGCCUUGUGCGGCUGAGGAUGGGCCCGCGGCCUAUCAGCUUGUUGGUGGGGNGAUGGCCUACCAAGGCGACGACGGGUAGCCGGCCUGAGAGGGCGACCGGCCACACUGGGACUGAGACACGGCCCAGACUCCUACGGGAGGCAGCAGUGGGGAAUCUUGCGCAAUGGGCGAAAGCCUGACGCAGCGACGCCGCGUGAGGGAUGACGGCCUCGGUUGUAAC
rnacentral:rRNA from 1 species